AGAGUUUGAUCCUGGCUCAGGACGAACGCUGGCGGCGUGCUUAACACAUGCAAGUCGAACGGAAAGGCCCUUCGGGGUACUCGAGUGGCGAACGGGUGAGUAACACGUGGGUGAUCUGCCCUGCACUUUGGGAUAAGCCUGGGAAACUGGGUCUAAUACCGAAUAGGACCACGCGCUUCAUGGUGUGUGGUGGAAAGCUUUUGCGGUGUGGGAUGGGCCCGCGGCCUAUCAGCUUGUUGGUGGGGUAAUGGCCUACCAAGGCGACGACGGGUAGCCGGCCUGAGAGGGUGACCGGCCACACUGGGACUGAGAUACGGCCCAGACUCCUACGGGAGGCAGCAGUGGGGAAUAUUGCACAAUGGGCGCAAGCCUGAUGCAGCGACGCCGCGUGAGGGAUGACGGCCUUCGGGUUGUAAACCUCUUUCAAUAGGGACGAAGCGCAAGUGACGGUACCUAUAGAAGAAGCACCGGCCAACUACGUGCCAGCAGCCGCGGUAAUACGUAGGGUGCGAGCGUUGUCCGGAAUUACUGGGCGUAAAGAGCUCGUAGGUGGUUUGUCGCGUUGUUCGUGAAAACUCACAGCUUAACUGUGGGCGUGCGGGCGAUACGGGCAGACUAGAGUACUGCAGGGGAGACUGGAAUUCCUGGUGUAGCGGUGGAAUGCGCAGAUAUCAGGAGGAACACCGGUGGCGAAGGCGGGUCUCUGGGCAGUAACUGACGCAGAGGAGCGAAAGCGUGGGGAGCGAACAGGAUUAGAUACCCUGGUAGUCCAA
rnacentral:rRNA from 1 species